GCUCUUAUCACUUGCUUCAUUUCUGACCUUCAAGGGUUCAACUGAUCCAAAAUGCUAUUAUAACUAACAUGCUUUCACCAAAAACAAUUAAAACAAAUACAACACAUAGCAAGAAAAGUGUACGGAGAAUAAAAUGGUGAAGAGGGAGCAACUGGACCUUCAUUAAUACAAAAGUAUCUUUAGCAUGACAGAGGGAACUCACAGAAGUUUGAACAGCAGCUAACGAAAAAGACAGACUCACGAUCGGAAACAUUCGACUUGACUGGACCUCGUUUAAAACCAACUGCUGGAACAUUUUGCAAUCUUUUCUGAAUGGUUUUUUGGGAGAUUAGUGGUCAUCGGUCCGGAGGAAGAAGGGGUCAGGUUGGUCGUUUUUGGUAUUCAGCCAUUGAAGACGAUGAUCAACGGGGAGGGGCCUCGUUUUGUAGAUGAAGUGAAGAAGACGACCGGUGGGGGUUGGUCCUGUUGUCUUGCGGCUCUGACUCCUAAAAUCUAGGCUCUUUCUUUUCUUUUUUCUUAGGUCCAAAAUCUAUCUUCUAUUCCUCAGCCCUUUUUUCCUUUAGCUUUUGAAAGUUUUUGUAUUUUGUGUCCCCAUUAGUUCUUAGGUCCUUAGCAUUAUUCUUGUAUUUUCGCUGUUGUGUGUUCUUGUUGAAGAAGCGGCGAAUGAUAACUUUUUG
rnacentral:lncRNA from 1 species